UACGUAGGGUGCGAGCGUUAAUCGGAAUUACUGGGCGUAAAGCGUGCGCAGGCGGUUUUGUAAGCCAGAUGUGAAAUCCCCGGGCUUAACCUGGGAAUGGCAUUUGGGACUGCAAGGCUGGAGUAUGGCAGAGGGGACUAGAAUUCCUGGUGUGGCAGUGAAAUGCGUAGAUAUCGGGAGGAACACCAGUGGCGAAGGCGACUACCUGGCCUGUUUCUUGACGCUGAGGCGCGAAAGCUAGGGGAGCAAACGGG
rnacentral:rRNA from 1 species